ensembl:miRNA
UUGGCCAAAAAGUUUAUUCGGGUUUUUACCAUAACCUGUUAGGAAAAACCCAGACAGAGUUUUUGGCCAA